CCCGAAUAUCAAAAAAUCACUUUAUCCGUAUAUUCUACACUAUAUCUAGACACAACUGAUCCAAAAAAAAAGAUUCGAUUCCUCGGAUCCGACACGCGGGAUGACCCCCUUAAUACAUAUUGUUCAAAUACGAAGGGUGUACAUAUAUUAUUCUCGCGGGAACUAAAAUCAAUGAGGCAAUAACUACAGGUAUGCGCUAUGUCGAAUCGAUCGGCUUUUAGCUCCGAGGAAAGCGUGCAACAUUGGUUUAUUUCCUAUGAGAAAAGCGAAUACAGAAUUAGAGAAUAACAGUGGCUGCGAGUUGGUUUACUUCCGGAGACUUUACAACCUGCAAUAUAGGCAGUAGUCGAAGAUUUCGAAGUUCCAUAAUCUCCGCCAUUAAGGCGUCCACUGUUGUUGAAUAAACUGAAUAAUAUUUAAUGGCGGAAGAAUCCGACUUGGAGCUAGGUUUUGAAUCGUGCUGAAGCACUUGAUUUCAAGACCAGAAUAUUAGCGCUCGCAAUACAGAUAAACUUUCCAUAAAAAAACAACAUAAAGGCUGCAAAGUUUCACCAAUCACCAUAGUCUUUCAAAAAUUUCAAAAGAUUCCAGAUGUUACCCAAUGGUGUCAUUAGGAAGGAGAUCCAAUGGAAACUGCAUGGUUCCUUUAUGCGGGCUGACACGUUUGGUACUUGCCGCAAACCCCAAAGCUCUACAAACGUUUGGCUUGAUUUUGGGGAACAAACAUCGCCAUCCGUACGUUUGCAAGUGUGUUAGUGUUUGAUUUGUCCAGAAACCCGACACUCGCUUGGAUCGGAUGAAAGCCUACACACCAAAACCAAACACUAGAUUCGGUAUAAGAUUCAGCUCAUUGGACGCUCGCUUUAAAUUCUGCUUAGGAAAUCGCGCAUGGGGAAUAAUAUUUUUAUGGAAAUACGAUCUGACUGUGUAUUCUUAUUAAUGUUUAUUUGAUUUAACAAUCGUAAAGGAAAACACUAAGUGUUCAGUUUUGCCCUUUGUCCAUACUGCUCUGGCAAUAUACAUCCGUAUAAUGUAAAGUGCACCAAUUACGUCUAUGUUUCGUCACUGCCGGUCCCUGAUAAUCUGUGCUAGUUCUUUCUAGGAUUUCUAAGAGAGCCUGCAGUCCUUCUCGUCCCAUGUGCCUAUGCCUUUCAAAUAACACACUUCAGUUUUGCCGAACUCAUGGAUUUUUUGCUUUAAUAAAAAAAAACUGUUGCUCGCCAAGAUAAUCAUAGCUUAGCCUUCAAAUCGACAAUGAUUAGAUCAUUAUUAAAUUGUCGGAAUGAUCAAAUAUGCAAUGUAAGGUUGACUUGUUUUACGCUUUGUACUUAAAUUUAAGACGUUGUGAUCUAAAUUUUACACAGUCGGAUGGCGCAUCUGUGAGAUUAAAUGAAAACUAGAAGGAAAUUUUGCCAAUUUGAAUUUUUAGGUCAAAUUUGGCUACAUUUUAACUUCAAGUAUAUCACGGAGAAGGUAAUAAUGUACCCGGGAAGUUUGGAAAAAUUCAUACGCUUUGUACCUCACAGAUUGGUCACGCACGACCAGUUCAAUUCCUUCUUCUUAAUCAAACAAAAGCAAUCAUCACUCGUUUCAAUCUCCCUUCAUUGUUUCAAUUUGAGAAAAAAAAUGUGUCGAUUGUAACAGUAGAGAAAUUCUAAAUGUGCCCUUUAUGUUAAAUCUGUAUACGCAUUCAGAAUAUGAUAGAAUAACCACACUUAUUAAUCUAGCAUGUAAACAUGGAAAACUACAAACUAAAUAAAAUAAAUAAAUUGUAAUAAGUAGAGCGAAUGUGAAAUUAGAAUUGCAUAAAACAAGAAUGAUCAUAAAACAAAAGAAAUAUUUAUGAAUACAGACAAACUACAAUAGGGAUUUAUCACAAGAAUAAUUUUUAAUGAGAAAAUAUUUUACCGUAAUCGUAUAUUAUUGCAAACAUGACAUAAUACCUAGAGUCGUAACUAAUAGGCUAUACAUUUAUAUACAUACAUAUAUAAAUAGAAAUAAAAUCAAACAUCUAAUGUUCAUAUUUAUAUAUAUAUUCACCGUUUACCAUUGAUGUAUUCAUCAUUUCUUUACAAUUUUUUUCGUCCUCACGUCAAUAUUUUGCUAUUUAUUUUCCAUCUUCUCCUAGUUUUCACCCUACUCGUUUAAUUCUCUUGAACUUGCUUUAUAUACUCAUUUUGGAAAUUCAGUGCCAACGUUAUCAUUUCCCAUUUGAUUAUCCAUUCUUAGUGCAUUUACUUAAUUCAUGCACUCAGUUGCAGAACACUCUCAAACUAGUUUUCAUCUAUAUCGUCCUUCGUCAUGCUUUCACGGGAAAUUUUCUUACUCUUCGAAAUGAAGUGGAAACAACAAACGCAUCUAAAGAAUUUAUUAGAUUGUCACAAGGAUCUGUUAGUUGGAUUUACUGUAAAUGAGAAGAUAAAAAAAGUAAAAGCAUGCUCGAUUUAACUUCCUAUUUAAAAUAUCCGUAAGUUUUUCAUAGUGAAUAUAUAUUAUAGAGAUUAUUCAAUAAGUUGAACAUUUAGUUCUACAGAAUAGAUUUUAGAUCGGGAAAAAAAAACAUCAAAAAUAAAAGGAAAAUCGAAUUAAACUAUUCCAUAGAAAAAUAAUCGUUUUCAUUGAUUUUCAGUUUGAAUUUAUUUCUACAAAUUUUGUUUUAAUCUUAUAAAAAUUGCUCUGUAUAUCAAAUAAUAUUUUGAAAUGAUGUCAAAUUUUCAAAAUUGAAAUUAUGAGUACAAAUAUCAACUAACAUCACUCGUUAAUAUUCAGGAACAAGAAAAAUUCGAGGCUAUUUUCAAUGGAAAGUAUUUCAAGAGCUCCUUUCCUUGAUGGGCAUAAUGCAAGAGUGCCGUUUCAAUUUUUUUAUUAGUCUCGUAAGAUGGACGAAACUAUCAGGUUUUCAAUUGGAUUGCCUAAUAUCGAUGAUCCGAAUUGAUGCGGUAUAUCAUAACGCAAGACCCUCAAAGGAUACUGAAGCAUAUGGAUAACUGGUACCUCUCACACCUAACAUUGUUAGGCCAUGGAGCCAAUCCAAACCAUCCAAGAAAAAAAGGGACUGAAGAAAUACUUACGCUGGAGCAAACAGAUGGUGUAUCUAAAUUACUUCUGGCCGUAGAUAAAGCAUCACAACCUCGUGGUCGUUCCCAAUCGAUGAAAAAUAUAUCAGAAUGUGUAACUCUCCAAAAGUAG